AACGAACGCUGGCGGCAUGCCUAACACAUGCAAGUCGAACGAGACCUUCGGGUCUAGUGGCUCACGGGUGCGUAACGCGUGGGAACCGUCCCUUAGGUUCGGAAUAACUCUCCGAAAGGGGUGCUAAUACCGGAUAAUGUCUUCGGACCAAAGAUUUGUCGCGUUUGGAUGGGCACGCGUUGGAUUAGCUGGUUGGUAGGGUAAGAGCCUAUCAAGGAGACGAUCCAUAGCUGGUCAGAGAGGAUGGUCAGCCACACUGGGACUGAGACACGGCCGAGACUCCUACGGGAUGCAGCAGUGGGUAAUAUAGGACAAUGGGCGAAAGCCUGAACCAGCUAUGCCGCGUGAGUGAUGAAGGCCUUAGGGUUGUAAAGCUCUUUUACCCGGGAUGAUAAUGACGGUACCGAGAGAAUAAGCUCCGGCUAACUCCGUG
rnacentral:rRNA from 1 species